AUGAGGCUGUCCCAGUGGGGUAACAUGAAGAGUUCUGGAAAAUUCCCCAUGAAAAAGUGUUACUUUGAGUUUUUGAAGGAUAUUCCUAAUGCUGAUUGGGGUGGUCUUGUUAUGAGGAAUAUAGCUAGGCCUCGUGUGGUUUUUUUACUGUGGCUUGAUUUCCAUAAACGGUUGCCUACUAAAGACAGAUUGGCGAAGAUUGGCAUCUUCCAUCAGCCUAAUUGCUUUGUUCUGUAA